AGGACUAUCUUGUAUCCGCCUCAUGUUUAAAUACCCGUGACCUCUGACCCGUGACGUAUAACUGCUCCAGAGUGUGCAGCACAGCCUUUCCGAUCUCCCAGACAACAACCGGGCCGUUUUUCUCAUCAAAAUAGCAGAUAGAGCGGCAGUUCAUGGCGGAACACGCACUGUAGUAGUUUGUAAAUACAUAAAAGCAUUGUGUUGUAGUUUUAAUGUCUGUAAACUUGUCGUUUCACGACAUGACAGCGGCUUCCCUCCCAACAACGUACUAUUACGUUAACGCAUAUACAUCACGAGGCACUGAGGCCAGGAGAGUGGCAGCAUCACGACCAGGGACUACAAAUUAUCAUGAGGUUCCAGUGACAUCGUCUACCCCAGAUGGAAACCUAGGUUGGAAACCGGAAACCCAAUUUACUACUACUACUAUUCUUAGUAUCCUUAGUUUAUCUUAAAAGUUAGGAUUUGUUGUAGCCUCUAUGUAGAUUUCAACUACAGUACUGUAUACUUAGAAACCCCUCUGUGUAUACUUAGAAACCCCUCUGUAUCUGGACAAUAGUCAAACUUUUACCAACAUGUAUACAAGCACAGAUGAAAUUUUACGCUUAAGUACUUGUACAUUUUGUAGUACAUGUGUGUGUAUCAAGAUUGCAGUAGACAUUGGGAUGUCAUCAGUGUUUCACACUGUCAUAUAGUUUGAGGGUGUGUUUGACAUUAACAACUUCUUAUAGUUGUAAGAUGAGAAUGCUUUGGAGAUGAGAAGUUAAUGGAUAUCAUGGAGGAGAGAAAAAGAAGGUCCCUAAAAAUAGCUUUGUUUGAGUCUAGUCUUGUUUACCAACAUUUGCUGGUCAGGUUAGUGGAAGCAGACCAAAAAAAAACUGGACUUCAGGCUAAUGAAUUCCUGGUAUACAUUAUUAUACAUGUAUAUUGAACUUUGUUAUACUUCAGUUGUACACAGCAAUUAAGUUCAUGUCUCCCAUCAGUUGGCAACAAAUUUAAAAAGAAGUGAAAUAGUCCUUAUCCCACAGAUUGUGUGUACUUCAACUUGUGUAGGGGCCAUAUGCACAUUUUUCAAGAGCUUGCAUACUGUAAAAGCUAGGUCCUGUCCUGUUCAUGAUAUGGAGUGAUGUAAUUUUCAAUCAUUUUGGCUUGAGAUGUAGUUAUUAACAUGUACUUGUGACUGAAGGGACUCACAGAAUGUGAUGAAAUGAACAUUCAUUCAUAGCGGUUCUAUCAAAUGUUUUGUGACAAAAAAAUAGUUUCAGAAACAUUAGCACAGCUGUAUACAUUUGGUAGAUGGAUUUUUACUGAGGACCAAUCAAUUUCUAAGUCUAAGAACUUGUAUCAAAGUCUCGGAGACAUGCUGCAUGCCUAUGUACCUGCCAGGCUAGUGUGCUACAUUUUAGGCACUUGCAAAGUUCAACAUUACAAUAUCUCAUAAUUAUAA